rnacentral:rRNA from 1 species
UACAGAGGUCUCAAGCGUUGUUCGGAUUCAUUGGGCGUAAAGGGUGUGUAGGUGGCGCGCUAAGUCGGGUGUGAAAUUUCGGAGCUUAACUCCGAAACUGCAUUCGAUACUGGCGUGUCUUGAGGACUGGAGAGGAGACUGGAAAUUCGAUGGUGUAGCAGUGAAAUGCGUAGAGAUCAUGAGGAAGACCAGUGGCGAAGGCGGGUCUCUGGACAGUUCCUGACACUGAGACACGAAGGCCAGGGGAGCAAACGGG